GACGAACGCUGGCGGCGUGCUUAACACAUGCAAGUCGAACGGAAAGGCCCUGCUUUUGUGGGGUGCUCGAGUGGCGAACGGGUGAGUAACACGUGAGUAACCUGCCCUUGACUUUGGGAUAACUUCAGGAAACUGGGGCUAAUACCGGAUAGGAGCUCCUGCUGCAUGGUGGGGGUUGGAAAGUUUCGGCGGUUGGGGAUGGACUCGCGGCUUAUCAGCUUGUUGGUGGGGUAGUGGCUUACCAAGGCUUUGACGGGUAGCCGGCCUGAGAGGGUGACCGGCCACAUUGGGACUGAGAUAAGGCCCAGCCUCCUACGGGAGGCAGCAGUGGGGAAUAUUGCACAAUGGGCGGAAGCCUGAUGCAGCAACGCCGCGUGCGGGAUGACGGCCUUCGGGUUGUAAACCGCUUUCGCCUGUGACGAAGCGUGAGUGACGGUAAUGGGUAAAGAAGCACCGGCUAACUACGUG
rnacentral:rRNA from 1 species